AUGAAAUUAGGGUAGCCAAAACCCACGGCUCAUCACAUCCCAUCUCCCGCUUUACGUCUCUCCCAGGCUCAUCUCGUCUCUGUCUCUCAAAAUACUGGGCAUUGCUCCGUGGUAGGUUGUAUAAGAUUUAACUCUUUUAGAAUUUUUUCUUCUCCAUUAUUUUUAUUGCUUCCAUUGUUGCUAUUUUCCAGAAAGUUGUAUUGGGGAUUUCAAUAGAUUGCAUUUGGCUGAAAUUUUUGCGAGUUUUGUGCUGGAGGGAAGAAGACUUAAACUUGGGCAUUGGGCAAACUUAUAUUUAGGUAAAUCAUAAUCCGUUGUAAUUCAUAUUUUCGUUAAUAAUUAGUAUCCUAUUUUGAUUUUAAGUUAGGAUUACUAGGUUAUGUUGUAGUUGUAGUGGAAGAUCAGGUUUUUAUAUUUGAGACUAACCUUCAAUGUUGGAACUUUUAAUUAGUAAAUGGCAAAAUACAACCUUUGAAUCAGUGAGUUUGCAUUUAUAGUGGAUGAUAAGGUUUUUAGGAGAAUUACUUCAUUUUAUUGAAUAUUUCUUGUUUUUGCUAUUUAAUGAUCUGGAAAAAUUUUUAUGUGGGUAAUAAUUGGGGAAAAAGAAGAAUUAGAUCAACCAAAUAUAGGGAGAAGAAACAACAAUGGAAGAAAGAAAUCGGCAAAACCAAAAAUAGAGGAAGAAGAAGGCAAUGAACUUAACUGAUUUUAACUUAAAAAAUGGUGUCGUGACAACUUAUCAAAACGGUGUCAUUUUACUUUGAUUAAUUGUAAUCAACUAUAAAUAUUUUUUACAUUUUAUCAGUUGAAAACAAGCUUCUUACUGGUAGUAAAUAUAACUCCACGUGCGAAGGAGAAGUCAGUUUUUGUAUAAUCUAAUCAUUUCGGUAAAAUUUGUUUAUGCUUUCAACAGAAUUUCUCUCCCCUUUCUUCUUUUUUUUUUUUUUUUUAAUCCCUUCCUCAUUCUAUUUUGUCUUUAGUUUGUAGAAACAUAGCAGCUAACCCAGCUGAUUUCACUUCGUCCUUGAGCUACAAUUGAGAGAGGUUACAGGUGAAGCUUGGGUUUGGCCUUAAGCUGUGACAAAUUUUUAUUAGUUUAGUUCCAGAUUUACUAAGGUUUCUUAUGUUGUUUACUCAUGUAAGUGAAUCAAGUUUUUAUGCUAAUGAUAUAUACAUUUAAAUGAUCCAUUUCUUUGUAAAAUUUGGAAUCAAUUGCUGCUAUUUUUAUGCUGAACUAUUAGGAUUCAAAUAAUUGAGAUUCUUGAUUGGAAAGUGUUAAUUUGAUUUUUUUAGAAAGUUGUUAAAUAUGUAAUCGUCAAUUAAGAAUGUAAUUAUGAUUGAUCAUUGCUUAUUAAUGGAAAUUGUGAAUUGAAAUAGUUGACUUUUAAUUUGAAUUGAAAUUGGUUGUUGCUAAAUUGCUUGUUUACUUGUCUAAAUGAUUAAAUAAAUGAAACUGAUUUCAAUCAUUUAUUUCUAGAAAGGGAGUUAAUUGGAUUCAUUUUGCAGGUUUAAUAUUCGAACCAUGUAAUAAUUCAUGAAAAAUAUGCAAUUAUAAUUCUAUGAAUUGUUGUUGAACAUUAUGGCAUCGGACCGUAGUUGGAUGUUGAAUAGGUCAGAUGAUGGAUUUCUUUCUGAUAGAUUCAUUGGAGGUGUUGAAAAGUUCAUUGAAUUUGCCAUGUCUCGAACAAGAGAUGGAGAUAUGAUCAAAUGUCCAUGUUCUAUAUGUAAAAACACAAGGUUUCUCAUAGGAGAUGAUGUGAAAUUUCAUCUUUACAAAAAUGGAUUUACAAGGGGCUAUACACAGUGGAACGCGCAAGGAAAACCAUUCAGUUUCAAUGGUCCAAAUUUGGUUGAAUCCUCAACUGCACAAGCUACAACCAUUGAGAGCCAUGGAGCAAUGGUGUUAGACGUGAUGGGCACUGAAAUGUACCAUGAUUACAUCAAUCCUAAUAUUUGUGGUCAUGAGGAACAAACCCCAAAUCAACAUGCCGCAAAUUUCUUUACACUAUUGGAAGAAGCUAACAAACCUAUAUGGCCUGUUUGUAGUAGGCACACAAACCUUUCUAUUAUGGCACGACUCUUGAAUCUGAAGUCUGAGUUUAAUAUGCCGACAGCAUGUUAUGAUCGUAUGCUGUCUAUAAUUAAAGAAAUUAUGCCAGAAGAUGAUCGCUUAGAAGCUACGUUCUAUAAAACAAAGAAAAUGUUAUCCAGUCUUGGCCUUGGUAUUAUGAAGAUCCAUACAUGUGUGAAUGAUUGCAUGUUGUACUACAAAGAAAUCGAGAGCAUGACUCAGAGUCCUACGUGUUUUAGUCCACGAUACAAAGAGAAGAUGUCUCAAUCUGGACAUAGGGUACCUCAAAAGGUACUUCGAUAUCUACCUCUAACUUCUAGGCUUCAGUAAUUGUAUAUGUCAAGACAAACUGUAGAGCACAUGUUAUGACAUUCGAAGAAUCAAUUCACUGAUAAUGAAAUGUCACACCCCGUACAUAGUGAGGCAUGUAAGUACUUUGAUAGAACUUUUCCUCAAUUUUUCCUUGAACCACGUAGUGUGCGCGUCAGUUUAUGUAUGGAUGGUUUCAACCCCUUUAGCAUGUCAAAUGUGUAAUACACUUGUUGGCCAGUAAUCAUUGUUG
rnacentral:lncRNA from 1 species